UACGAAGGGGGCUAGCGUUGCUCGGAAUUACUGGGCGUAAAGGGCGCGUAGGCGGAUAGUUUAGUCAGAGGUGAAAGCCCAGGGCUCAACCUUGGAAUUGCCUUUGAUACUGGCUAUCUUGAGUUCGGGAGAGGUGAGUGGAAUGCCGAGUGUAGAGGUGAAAUUCGUAGAUGUUCGGCGGAACACCAGUGGCGAAGGCGACUCACUGGCCCGAUACUGACGCUGAGGCGCGAAAGCGUGGGGAGCAAACAGG
rnacentral:rRNA from 1 species